UUGACCUCGGAUCAGGUAGGAAUACCCGCUGAACUUAAGCAUAUCAAUAAGCGGAGGAAAAGAAACCAACAGGGAUUGCCCUAGUAACGGCGAGUGAAGCGGCAACAGCUCAAAUUUGAAAUCUGGCUCUCGGGCCCGAGUUGUAAUUUGUAGAGGAUACUUUUGAUGCGGUGCCUUCCGAGUUCCCUGGAACGGGACGCCAUAGAGGGUGAGAGCCCCGUCUGGUUGGAUGCCAAAUCUCUGUAAAGUUCCUUCGACGAGUCGAGUAGUUUGGGAAUGCUGCUCUAAAUGGGAGGUAUAUGUCUUCUAAAGCUAAAUACCGGCCAGAGACCGAUAGCGCACAAGUAGAGUGAUCGAAAGAUGAAAAGCACUUUGAAAAGAGAGUUAAAAAGUACGUGAAAUUGUUGAAAGGGAAGCGUUUAUGACCAGACUUGGGCUUGGUUAAUCAUCUGGGGUUCUCCCCAGUGCACUUUUCCAGUCCAGGCCAGCAUCAGUUUUCGCCGGGGGAUAAAGACUUCGGGAAUGUGGCUCUCUUCGGGGAGUGUUAUAGCCCGUUGUGUAAUACCCUGGCGGGGACUGAGGUUCGCGCAUCUGCAAGAUGCGGC
rnacentral:rRNA from 1 species